GAAUCCAGUAACCCGAGUUCA
rnacentral:siRNA from 1 species